rnacentral:rRNA from 1 species
UACGAAGGGGGCUAGCGUUGUUCGGAAUUACUGGGCGUAAAGCGCGCGCAGGCGGUCUUCCAAGUCAGUGGUGAAAGCCCGGAGCUCAACUCCGGAACUGCCAUUGAAACUGUUAGACUUGAGGAUGAGAGAGGUGAGUGGAAUUCCCAGUGUAGAGGUGAAAUUCGUAGAUAUUGGGAAGAACACCAGUGGCGAAGGCGGCUCACUGGCCCGAUACUGACGCUGAGGCACGAAAGCGUGGGGAGCAAACAGG